rnacentral:rRNA from 1 species
UGGAAGUAAAAGUCGUAACAAGGUUUCGUAGGUGAACCUGCGGAAGGAUCAUUACCGAGUGCUACGAGCGAGAGCUCGUUACCUCCCACCCUUUGUGAACAUACCUUUGAUUGCUUUGGCGGCUCUCGCCGCGAGGGGAGGCCCUGAAAAGGGCCCGCCCCCCUCGCGCGCCCUCCGCCAGAGGACCUUCAAACUCCAGUCAGUAAACGUCGACGUCUGAUACACAAGUUAAUAAACUAAAACUUUCAACAACGGAUCUCUUGGUUCUGGCAUCGAUGAAGAACGCAGCGAAAUGCGAUAAGUAAUGUGAAUUGCAGAAUUCAGUGAAUCAUCGAAUCUUUGAACGCACAUUGCGCCCCUUGGCAUUCCGAGGGGCAUGCCUGUUCGAGCGUCAUUACAACCCUCAAGCUCUGCUUGGUAUUGGGCGCCGUCCUCUCUGCGGACGCGCCUCAAAGACCUCGGCGGUGGCUGUCCAGCCCUCAAGCGUAGUAGAAUACACCUCGCUUUGGAGCGGCUGGCGUCGCCCGCCGGACGAACCUUCUGAACUUUUCUCAAGGUUGACCUCGGAUCAGGUAGGGCAUACCCGCUGAACUUAAGCAUAUCAAUAGCCGGAGGAA